rnacentral:lncRNA from 1 species
CCACCGCACACCCCACACUUGGCUGAGAUCUCACAGCUGCAAAGAUGUCUUUGAAUCCAUGGAGCCCAGGGUUCAGCGUGUAGAGUGAGGCUGGGGUGUGUAGACAGCUGGGGUAAGGAACCCUGAGAACGUGUCUUACCCCAGUUGUUUCCAAGUUUCUUUAGAAAGCAGGCUAUUUUACCCCAUGUGUCCUCAGAUUUAUGUCCUGGAAACAAAUUCCAAAUCAGCAGCCACAUGAAAAGUCCCCUCCUCUCUGCUGUGGAAUGAAACUGUUAGACCUGCCUUUGUGACCAAAGCAAUUGUAAAAUAUAGGGGAGGAAAUUAAAAGCCUGCCAUCUUAGUCCACACAGUGCGUGCUGUCUCUCUGUGUUUGCAUGUGUGUUUACGUGUGUGUUGAGUGAUCACAUCUGUUCAAGGCAGGAUAGUGAGGGGCAAGGGGCAGUCCUGGCAGGUACCAAGUGGACACUCGGAGACAGAAGGGCUACAGGUGGGCAGCCAGGCCACAGGUGGGCAACGAGGGGCCGCCAGGAGUCAGACUAAAACCCGGAGAUGGAAGUGUAAUGGCAGGAAGAGAUGGGAAUGGAGAGAGGGUCCAGCUACCAGCUCUGUGGCGCCCCCCUCCUUCCCUCCCUCCCACUCUGACUCCCUUUCCCUCCCCACUCCCCAUCACCCUCCCCUUUUGCUCCCUGUCCCCAGAAUCCUUGGGAGCAAAGGGAGGCAGACAGAGACAGUCCACUCUGUGCUCUGCUCUGGUUGUUUAGUCUAUGGCGGGCCCCAGGUUGGUUGGUGCUGCUCUGCUUCCCCCUGGUGGCCAGAGCCGGCAGCAGUGCCAGGAAACGGGAACUGGGAUCCAGACCUUUGCCUAUGCGGUGAUAGGAAAAUGAUCCGGCUGCAGCCAGGCUGUUGACUGUGAGGGUCCGGGGCAGGGAGAGCUGACAAUGGAAACAGAGAACACAAUUUGCAUACAGUGACUUGCCAACAUUCCCUGACUUGCCAACAAGGUGACAGUGCCUGACCCAAACCAUGAUGUCUGUCUCCUGCACCCCCAGCCAGGGGUAGAGAUCAUUCCCUGCCGAGCAAUCCCUUUUCCUGUGGAAGACCACUUUUCACAAGGCCCUUGGCCUCCCCAGCUCAGCCUCAGGGACACACC